GUGCGAGCGUUCCUUGGCGCCGCCAGCCGGGACCGGUUUCAGGCCACCCACAAACCCUUGAGCACACUUUCUCCCCACGCUUCCAGUCACCGUUAGGCAAAAACGGACAGCGUCUCCCGCCCAGCCAAAGCAGCGCCUGGGAGACUUCUUGCAGGAGCGCGUUCCCGUGAGCAGAGCAAACGCCAGGGUCGUCUCCGCGGGGUCCGCCAGCAGGUGAUUGUGAGCCACCUGAUACAGGGCCUGGGAACCAACUCAAGUCAUGUGAUGGAGCAGUACGCACUUUUAACUUCUGAGCCAGCCUCCAGACCUGAGAAAUAGUUUUAACAAGCAAAUGGAUGGAACUAGUAGCAGCAGUGGAGUGGAGCCAGCCAGAUCCUAGAAGACAAACUGUGUGCUGUGGAGGGCAGAGCUGGAAAAGUGACCCAAGCUCUUUGGAGGAGUCCAGAAGAUCAUGAGUGAAUCCCAGAAACUGCUUGCUUAUUCUCAGGAAACUGAAACUGAGGCCUCAUCUCUGAAAGAAUACUGAACAGCCUGUUAAAGCGUCUGCUUGGCUCUCUCAAUCGCCAAAGCUUGCUGGCUAGCCAGUUUGGCCAAACAGCAAGCUGAUGUGUGGUAACAACAUUUAAUAAACACUAACUACAUUUCCUACUUUGUAUACAUUAUCCUGAUAGUAGUUCUGAUAGUAUCUUGUAUCACAUUUCCUACUUUGCACACAUUAU